AUUGAACGCUGGCGGCAUGCUUUACACAUGCAAGUCGAACGGUAACAGGGAGCUUGCUCCGCUGACGAGUGGCGAACGGGUGAGUAAUGCGUCGGAACGUGCCGAGUAGUGGGGGAUAACGCAGCGAAAGUUGUGCUAAUACAGCAUACGUACUGAGGUAGAAAGUGGGGGACCUUCGGGCCUCACGCUAUUCGAGCGGCCGACGUCUGAUUAGCUAGUAGGUGAGGUCAAGGCUAACCUAGGCGACGAUCAGUAGCGGGUCUGAGAGGAUGGUCGGCCACACUGGGACUGAGACACGGCCCAGACUCCUACGGGAGGCAGCAGUGGGGAAUUUUGGACAAUGGGCGAAAGCCUGAUCCAGCCACGCCGCGUGUCUGAAGAAGGCCUUCGGGUUGUAAAGGACUUUUGUCGGGGAGGAAAUCCCCAGCGCUAAUACCGCUGGGGGAUGACAGUACCUGAAGAAUAAGCACCGGCUAACUACGUGCCAGCCGCCGCCGUAAUAC
rnacentral:rRNA from 1 species